rnacentral:rRNA from 1 species
AUGAUGCAUCCGUUUCGUGCCCCGGCAGCCGCCGCGGUGCUCUGCUCAACCACGCUGCUGCUAGCUGCCGUCCUCGCCACCGACGCCACCAUAAACACCACCACGCCGUCGUUGCCGUCCUCGUCGUCCUCGCCCUGCGCCCCGGCGACGUGCGGGGGCCUGCGCAUCGAGUACCCAUUCUGGCUCGGCGGCACGCACCCGCCAGAGUGCGGCUACCGGGCCUUCCAGGUCACGUGCGACGGCAACGGCACGGCCUUCCUCGAGAACUCAUUCUGGAAGUACCAGAUCCUGGACAUCUCUUACGACGACAGCACCUUCAGGCUCGCCAACCACGAUCUCUCCGACGGCACCUGCGACGUCGAGGUCCGCGUGAACGCCACCUCCGACCUCGGCCUCGCGCCCUUUGCCAUCAGCCGGACCAACCAGAGGCUCUACUUCCUCUACAACUGCACCGACCUCCGGGCGCGGCCGCCGCCCCGUUCGUGGGCGCCCGUGAACUGCACCAAGGGGUCCAACGUGUCCACCUUCAACUCCUUCGCGUUGCUCGCCGGCGGGUACAGGCCCGUGCCGGGGAACUGCAGGGUGUCGAUGAUGCCCGUGCUGGGGUACCCGGGGGCGGCCGGGAAGGACUACCGGCAGCUGAUGAAGGGCGGGUUUCUUCUGGACUACGCGGCCGACGACUGCGCGGCGUGCAAGGAGAGCGGUGGACGUUGCCGGAUUGACACCGACUAUGAUAUCUUCCAGUGCCACUGCUCCGACGGCGUGGCCGACCUCAUCGUUUGCGGGGACAGUGGAAAGACAAGUAUAAAGUUCAUAAUAGUUGGAGCGGUAGCCGGUUUUGCUGCAUUCUUGGCAUUUGUCUUAUUUGCCUUGUACCAACGAAAGAAGAGCAAACAAACUGUAGCUUCAAAUGAGUUCAUGCGAAGUGGAUCUUCAAUGACGUCAUACAGUAAAGACCUUGAGCUGGGUGGUUCGCCUCAUAUCUUCACUUUCGAGGAACUCGAAGUGGCUACUGAUGGAUUUAGUGCUUCAAGGGAGCUUGGUGAUGGUGGCUUUGGAACUGUUUAUAAAGGAAAACUCAAGGAUGGGAGAGUAGUUGCGGUGAAACGCCUUUACAAGAAUAACUACAGACGGGUUGAGCAGUUCCUGAAUGAGGUCGACAUCCUGUCCCGCCUGCUCCACCAGAACCUGGUCAUCCUAUAUGGCUGCACUUCUCGGAUGAGCCGCGACCUUCUCCUGGUGUACGAGUUCAUCGCAAAUGGGACUGUCGCAGACCAUCUUCACGGAUCACACUCGGCGGAACGAGGCCUCACGUGGCCUCUAAGACUGAACAUUGCCAUAGAAACAGCUGAAGCACUGGCCUACCUCCAUGCAGUCGAGAUCAUACAUCGUGAUGUGAAGACAACCAACAUAUUGCUGGACAACAACUUUCAUGUCAAAGUUGCAGACUUUGGGUUGUCGCGCCUGUUCCCUCUCGAGGUCACCCAUGUCUCGACUGUUCCACAGGGCACACCUGGUUACGUCGACCCCGUGUACCACCAGUGCUACAAGCUGACCGACAAGAGCGACGUCUACAGCUUCGGCGUCGUGUUGGUGGAGCUGAUAUCCUCAAAGCCUGCUGUGGACAUGAGUAGGAGCCAAAGUGAGAUCAACCUGGCCAACAUGGCCCUCAACAGGAUUCAGAACCAUGAAGUUUUUCAGUUGGUUGAUCCGGAGCUCGGCUAUGACACCGACCCCGAAACAAAGAGAACGAUUGACCGUGUGGCCGAGGUGGCCUUCCAGUGCCUGCAGAUGGAGAGGGAUCUGAGGCCGUCGAUCAAGGAGGUGGUGGAGAUCCUGACUUACGUCAGGGACGGAGACUAUCGAGCUAAGAGCAUGAAGAAGAAGGCGUCUCAGAAAGAGGACGCGCACUUGCUCACCAAUGACCUGCAGUUUUCGCCUGACUCGGUCAUCCAUAGAUUCCAUAGCCAGUCAACUAACCACUCGGUAGCAUCGAAUGCUAGCGGGUUAUGA